UUUUGCCUUUUUUGGGGCAUUUCAGGUCAGCGAGCUAGCAGCAAUCGCCAAGGGUCCGGGGGACUUCAGGCGAUGGACGUGGAAAUGUGGAGCAAUAAGGUAGUGAUUAACCUGAGGCGGUCCAAAACGGAUGUAAUGGGAAAAGGAACGUUGGUUACGUUGUGGGAGCUCCCGGGUGGGAGAACUUGCACGGUUAAGUGCGCAACGGCCUUCUGGGAGGUGCGGGCAAUGGCCGGGGGUUCAUAUUUCAAGCAUGAGGAUGGCUCUUCGCUAUCGAAAUUCCAGUUCCUCAGGGUUUUUCGGAAGGCGUUGGCAAGGUUGGGUGUGGACCCGGGCCAAUUCGGGACACAUUCUUUCAGGAUUGGUGCGGCUACUGAAGCGGCGAGACUAGGUUUAGGUGACGAACGGGUGAAAAAGAUUGGCAGGUGGGAGUCCCUGAGGUUCAGGUCUUACAUUAGACCAGACAAGUUG
rnacentral:lncRNA from 1 species